AGGUUUUCAAAACGCAUUUGAAUCGACAAAUUGAUUUCGCUGGUAAUCGGUUAACAAUGACGCGAUCCUCAUUGAAAAUCAGUCCGAAGCCAUUAGAAGUCACAUAAUCGGUUUGUCGUUGAUGAAGUCGUCGUGGCCCGUCAGUGAUGACAAAUUGACAAUGUAAUUGCAAUUGUUGUUAUGUAUUUGAUACAAUGGAAAAACUUAAGAUCUUUCGCAGCAAUAAUUUUAUAAUCAAGUAAUACUUCAGAGAUUAAAGAUUUGAAAGCUGGGGCGGAGCUGCUUGAUAUUAUUCUUUCAAAGUCCCAGAGAAUGGGCAUGGAGCCUCAAAGAGCUGCAGUGGGGAAGUAGAACCACUGUCAGGUUCAAUAUACCCAGCAGGCUCACCUCGAGCAGCAGACACAGUGAGGAGAAUAAUCGGCACAAUGAAGAAACCAACAGGCUUACCUGCUUAGAUUUUUCGAUUUCAAAUUUUUAAAUCUUUCGACGAAAUCGAGUUCAGAUUUGACGAUGCAUUCAAGCGAGAUCCAAAUGCUGCUGAGGUAGAAACAAUAUUUGAUACUCCCUUGGAAAUGUUCAUCAAGGUUUGCUCUUUGGUUUAAGAUCUUCCUUCAAGAUACAUGUUUUUGCGUGCUUUCUUUCUUUUGACAUAUUCUGUUGGAAUCUUAUCUCAAGAUGAAAAUCACAGAGCAGAGGAAAGAGAAUGGAUGUGAUUCAAGUACUUGAUUCAUUAGUUUGAUUAUGAAACAGUUAACAAAGAGUAUGGGAUAUGGGGUCUAACUGCUGGGAUCUUGAUUCAAGUUGCAUCAGUUGUUUAUCAAAGACCACCACCAAUUGUGGAGCAGAAUCCCAAAUUUAAGGUUCCUGCAAACCAGUUUGAUGAUUAGGUAUUUAUUACGCCAUGAAUUUUGAUCUGGGUGUCGUUCUUUGAGUUUGGUGUUUUGCAUCUGGAAUUCUAAGUUAAUCGAAUUUUGGAGAAAUUUGAUGCUUGAUUUCGCCAAUUUUUUUUUAAAAUUAGCAGCUUCCACCGUUUAAUCGGAUUUCAUUUUCUAUUGAUUUUUUAAAUUUGUGGUCUUUGGAUGCUGGUGAUUAUGUCUCAAAUUUAUGUACUAAUAUCAUCAAACUUUGCCGAGUUUAACAUUACUGAUUUGAUUCUGAUGUUAUUAGGUUCAAGUGGUAAUUUGGAUUGUAAUUUUGAUUUGAAUUUGGAUUUUAGAAGUUUUCAUCUGGGUUUGUUUGAUUGGUUCUGAUUUUGAUGAACAAAUUUUCUUUUUGGAAGAAAAGCAGACUAAUAUAUGUAUGAUGAACAAAUUUGCUUUUGAAGAUUAUUCCACAACAUGCUAUUAUUCCACAAUCUAAUAAAGUUGGACCAAGAUUAAAACGAACCUGGACAACGUUCCCGGUUAUACUAUGGGCUCUGCAAGGAUUUUUGGCGUACAUCAAGAAUGUUUACAACAAUCCUCCUCAAGAAUGAAAAUGGUUCUGAACUUGACUAAUGUCAUCAAUCUUAAAUGAAG